rnacentral:misc_RNA from 1 species
GGAAGGAUCAUUACCGAAUUGUAAACACGAGUUGUUGCUGGCCCUCAAACGGGGGCAUACGUGCACGCUCUGUUCACACAUCCACUCACACCUGUGCACACCCCGUAGUUCUAUGGCCUGGGGGCUCCGUCCUCUUGCUGUGGUUCUAUGUCUUUACACACACACACCGCAACGAAGUCUUAUGGAAUGUAUGCCGCGUUUAACGCAAUACAAUACAACUUUCAGCAACGGAUCUCUUGGCUCUCGCAUCGAUGAAGAACGCAGCGAAAUGCGAUAAGUAAUGUGAAUUGCAGAAUUCAGUGAAUCAUCGAAUCUUUGAACGCACCUUGCGCCCUUUGGACAUUCCGAAGGGCAUGCCUGUUUGAGUAUCAUGAACACCUCAACUCUCAUGGCUUGCCAUGAUGAGCUUGGACUUUGGGGGUCUUGCUGGCCUACGGUCGGCUCCUCUCAAAUGGAUUAGCUUACCAGUGUUUGGUGGCAUCACAGGUGUGAUAACUAUCUGCGCUUGUGGUUUUCCACCAGAUAACCUUCAGUGAUGGGGGUUCGCUGGAGCUUAUAAACGUCUCUCCUAAGCGGGGACAGCUCUUUGAACGUU